rnacentral:rRNA from 1 species
GACGAACGCUGGCGGCGUGCUUAACACAUGCAAGUCGAACGGAAAGGCCCUGCUUUUGUGGGGUGCUCGAGUGGCGAACGAGUGAGUAACACGUGAGUAACCUGCCCUUGACUUUGGGAUAACUUCAGGAAACUGGGGCUAAUACCGGAUAGGAGCUCCUGCUGCAUGGUGGGGGUUGGAAAGUUUCGGCGGUUGGGGAUGGACUCGCGGCUUAUCAGCUUGUUGGUGGGGUAGUGGCUUACCAAGGCUUUGACGGGUAGCCGGCCAGAGAGGGUGACCGGCCACAUUGGGACUGAGAUACGGCCCAGACUCCUACGGGAGGCAGCAGUGGGGAAUAUUGCACAAUGGGCGGAAGCCUGAUGCAGCAACGCCGCGUGCGGGAUGACGGCCUUCGGGUUGUAAACCGCUUUCGCCUGUGACGAAGCGUGAGUGACGGUAAUGGGUAAAGAAGCACCGGCUAACUACGUG